UGUGAGCAUAAGUUCAAUUUUAUCUAGAAAGAGUCCUCUAAUUGCUUUGAACAAGCUGCCAGCUCUGUCGUAUCUUUGAGCAUCCAUUAAAAUUAAGGAGUGAAAAAUGUCUAGCUGAAGAGGAGCCAGUAUGGGGGGAGUGACUGAACACUGGACUAUGUAUGACUCUGGAGACUAAGGUCCGAAUCCUUGCUCAGCCCCAAAAACCUAUUGGAUGACCUUUGGUAGAUAAAAACAAGACUCCAAUUGACUUCUGUUUUCUAUUGAACUCAAUAUCUUGCAUUUUGCCAAGGAAUCAAAAAUUCAGAUGUGCUCCAAAUGCCUUUUUGCAGACCAACUGGACUGACAUGAGUAAUUCGAAGAAAUGCACUUCAUAUGCCUUGCACAUUACUCAAAAUAAAUUCAUAAUCCUCUCUAAAAAAUAUUCUUAGGAUGUUCCCCAGGUGAAGAAUGUGUAUACAAAAACAUAUUCCUGCUUUCUAAAAUUUGUACAGUAUGUCCCUGAGACUUGCACAGUGCACUCUGUCAUGUAUCUGAGAACAUGCAUUGUAAUCUACAAAUGCUAAAA